CACGUCCUACGGGGCGCAGCAGUGAGGAAUAUUGGUCAAUGGUCGGGAGACUGAACCAGCCAAGCCGCGUGAGGGAGGAAGGUACAGAGUAUCGUAAACCUCUUUUGUCAGGGAACAAAGACUGGGACGCGUCCCCGGAUGAGUGUACCUGAAGAAAAAGCAUCGGCUAACUCCGUGCCAGCAGCCGCGGUAAUACGGAGGAUGCGAGCGUUAUCCGGAUUUAUUGGGUUUAAAGGGUGCGCAGGCGGUCUGUUAAGUCAGCGGUCAAAGCCCGGGGCUCAACCCCGGCCCGCCGUUGAAACUGG
rnacentral:rRNA from 1 species